AUUCCCAUAACAGGUGCUGGGAGUUGAACUUGGGUCAUAUGCGAGAGCAGCAUACAAUGUUAACACGUGAUGCUUCUGUCCAGUCCCAGAAGUUGAACUUCUUGGAAAGAGUUCCUUGAAAAUACAAUUCAACCUGCUCCUCUCUUUUCUGCAGAUUCCUGACUGCCAAAAGAUGAGCUGGAAUCCUAGCCAUGUGAUACAUGCCAUGCCGGAGGAAAACAUCCUAAACAGUGAGAGAAAGGAAAAUCUUCAGGAUUGCCAGUGCUAUUUCAAAAUAUCACAGCAAGUGUGAAAUAAGGAUGUCAAUAUGUAUUAGACAAAGAGAAGAGCUGAGUGUGUGGAGAAACAACAGGCAAACCUUGAUGAGGAAAACAGCAGGGGGAUUGCUUUUUGAACCCAGUGACCUUUCUCUAGUCUUAAACACUGAAGAUUGUGUAGAUCACUGAAAAAGAAAUGUUUUCUUCUAAUGCUUUAUUUUCUAUAUACAGUCACCAGGCAUGGCAACAAAACACGAUUACACAAUGAUACAUCUUAGCAGCCUUCAUCAGAGCAUUUAAGAAACUUCAAAGAAGAGUGUCUCAGGAUUAUCCUGUCCAAUUACAUUAGUGGAGAGGAGGCCUGUGAUUGGACAGGGAAAAGAGAGAAAGCUCUAAGGGCUGCAGAGAGAGCUUCUCAGGAGAGUGAAGAGGAGAAGGCAAGGUGGCAGUGGAUGUGAACCGGUAUGGCUUUUUCCAGCCACAGGUAGUUAAGAUAUCUUAAGGAUAGAAUAAUUGGGAUAAAACUUUCAUCAUUACCAAUUGGUCCUGAAAUUAUCGAAUUGACAUCUUGUAAAUUAUGAUUUUAUUGAUCCAUAAAUCUGAUUGGUUAACCGUAA